rnacentral:rRNA from 1 species
CGCGUGGGAAUCUACCUAGUAGUGGGGACAACAGUUGGAAACGACUGCUAAUACCGCAUACGCCCUACGGGGGAAAGGCGGAGGAUCUUCGGACUUCGUGCUAUUGGAUGAGCCCGCGUGAGAUUAGUUUGUUGGUGGGGUAAUGGCCUACCAAGACUGCGAUCUCUAGCUGGUCUGAGAGGAUGAUCAGCCACACUGGAACUGAGACACGGCCCAGACUCCUACGGGAGGCAGCAGUGGGGAAUAUUGGACAAUGGGCGAAAGCCUGAUCCAGCAACGCCGCGUGAGGGAUGACGGCCU